UACAGAGGGUGCAAGCGUUGUUCGGAAUCAUUGGGCGUAAAGGGCGCGUAGGCGGCUGUGCAAGUCAGAUGUGAAAGCCCAGGGCUCAACCUUGGAAGUGCAUCUGAAACUGCGCAACUAGAGUCUCGGAGAGGGUGGUAGAAUUCCCAGUGUAGAGGUGAAAUUCGUAGAUAUUGGGAGGAAUACCGGUGGCGAAGGCGACCGCCUGGACGAAGACUGACGCUGAGGCGCGAGAGCGUGGGGAGGCAAACA
rnacentral:rRNA from 1 species